rnacentral:rRNA from 1 species
UACGUAGGGGGCGAGCGUUGUCCGGAAUCAUUGGGCGUAAAGAGCGUGUAGGCGGCUCGCUAAGUCUUGCGUGAAAUCUCGGGGCUCAACCCCGAGCGGUCGUGAGAAACUGGCGGGCUAGAGUGCGGGAGAGGAGAGUGGAAUUCCUGGUGUAGCGGUGAAAUGCGCAGAUAUCAGGAAGAACACCCGUGGCGAAGGCGGCUCUCUGGAACGCAACUGACGCUGAGACGCGAAAGCGUGGGGAGCAAACAGG